rnacentral:rRNA from 1 species
GAUGAACGCUAGCGGCAGGCCUAACACAUGCAAGUCGAGGGAGAAGCCCUUUCGGGGGCAGAAACCGGCGCACGGGUGCGUAACGCGUAUGCAACCUACCUUUCACAGGGGGAUAGCCCGAAGAAAUUUGGAUUAAUACCCCAUAAUAUUAUUGGAUGGCAUCAUUUGAUAAUUAAAACUGCGGUGGUGAAAGAUGGGCAUGCGUCCUAUUAGCUAGUUGGAGUGGUAACGGCACCCCAAGGCUACGAUAGGUAGGGGUCCUGAGAGGGAGAUCCCCCACACUGGUACUGGGACAGGGACCAGACUCCUACGGGAGGCAGCAGUGAGGAAUAUUGGUCAAUGGUCGGAAGACUGAACCAGCCAUGCCGCGUGCAGGAAGAAUGCCUUAUGGGUUGUAAACUGCUUUUAUAUGGGAAGAAUAAGGCGUACGUGUACGUUGAUGACGGUACCAUAUGAAUAAGCAUCGGCUAACUCCGUG